rnacentral:rRNA from 1 species
UACGUAGGGUGCAAGCGUUGUCCGGAAUUAUUGGGCGUAAAGAGCUCGUAGGCGGUCUGUCACGUCGGCUGUGAAAACCCGAGGCUCAACCUCGGGCCUGCAGUCGAUACGGGCAGACUAGAGUUCGGUAGGGGAGACUGGAAUUCCUGGUGUAGCGGUGAAAUGCGCAGAUAUCAGGAGGAACACCGGUGGCGAAGGCGGGUCUCUGGGCAAUAACUGACGCUGAGGAGCGAAAGCGUGGGGAGCGAACAGGA